AACGAACGCUGGCGGCAUGCCUUACACAUGCAAGUCGAACGGCAGCACGGGGGCAACCCUGGUGGCGAGUGGCGAACGGGUGAGUAAAGCAUCGGAACGUGCCCUGAAGUGGGGGAUAACGUAGCGAAAGUUACGCUAAUACCGCAUAUUCUGUGAGCAGGAAAGCAGGGGAUCGCAAGACCUUGUGCUUUAGGAGCGGCCGAUGUCGGAUUAGCUAGUUGGUAGGGUAAAGGCCUACCAAGGCAACGAUCCGUAGCGGGUCUGAGAGGAUGAUCCGCCACACUGGGACUGAGACACGGCCCCAGACUCCUACGGGAGGCAGCAGUGGGGAAUUUUGGGACAAUGGGCGCAAGCCUGAUCCAGCCAUGCCGCGUAAGUGAAGAA
rnacentral:rRNA from 1 species